UAGAUCAGUGAUGACUACUGGUGGCGUAUGAGUCAUAUACGAUGAAUACGUGUCUGGAACUCUGAGGUCCAG
ensembl:snoRNA SNORD114-18 small nucleolar RNA, C/D box 114-18